UCUGUGCUCGUUAUCUUUAGUCAACUUGAUACAGACCAGAGUCACCUGGGAACAAGGUGUGUCAAUUCAAGACUUAUCUCGACCAGACUGGACUGUGGGCUGUUCUUCACCUGGUGGUAAUUAUCCGGCCUCAGGCUCCCAAGUGCUGACAGGCAUACUCGACUUCUUUUACUAAUUGAGGGACAUCUAAGAUUCUGGACUCAGGGGACCCUGCAGAGACUGAUGAAUCAACCAAGGACCACACAUGGAGAAGACAGAGACCCCCUGCUCAGAUGUAGCCAUGGGCAGUUCAGUCUCCAUGGCGGUUCUCUAAUAAGGGAACAGGGGCAGUCUCUAGCAUUAACUCGAUUGCCUGCUGUUUGAUCAAUCCCCCUUGAAAGGUGGCUGUCGGGAGCCGCUCCCGCCAUUACAAGAUGGCGCCGGCUUCCUGCUUCCUGGUUCUUCUUGCCAGCAUUUUCGCGCUUCUUGUCAGCAUUGCUUCGCGAUUUGCGCAUGCGCAGCUUUAUGUUGAUGAGGGUUUAGGCUGCAAUCCAAUUGCCAGCCAUAUACUGAUGAGGAC